UACGUAGGGUGCGAGCGUUGUCCGGAAUUAUUGGGCGUAAAGGGCUCGUAGGCGGUUUGUCGCGUCGGGAGUGAAAUCCACUGGCUUAACUGUGGGCGUGCGGUCGAUACGGGCAUCACUGGAGUUCGGCAGGGGAGACUGGAAUUCCUGGUGUAGCGGUGAAAUGCGCAGAUAUCAGGAGGAAUACCGAUGGCGAAGGCAGGUCUCUGGGCUGAUACUGACGCUCAUGCACGAAAGUGUGGGGAGCAAACAGG
rnacentral:rRNA from 1 species